rnacentral:rRNA from 1 species
CUACGGGAGGCUGCAGUGGGGAAUAUUGGACAAUGGGCGCAAGCCUGAUCCAGCCAUGUCGCGUGAGUGACGAAGGCCUUAGGGUUGUAAAGCUCUUUUGGCGGGGACGAUAAUGACGGUACCCGCAGAAUAAGCUCCCGCUAACUUCGUGCCAGCAGCCGCGGUAAUACGAAGGGAGCUAGCGUUGUUCGGAAUCACUGGGCGUAAAGCGCACGUAGGCGGAUUGCUAAGUCAGGGGUGAAAUCCCGGGGCUCAACCUCGGAACUGCCUUUGAUACUGACAAUCUCGAGUCCGGAAGAGGUGGGUGGAAUUCCUAGUGUAGAGGUGAAAUUCGUAGAUAUUAGGAAGAACACCGGUGGCGAAGGCGGCCCACUGGUCCGGUACUGACGCUGUGGUGCGAAGGCGUGGGGAGCAAACAGGAUUAGAUACCCCAGUAGUC